rnacentral:rRNA from 1 species
UACGAAGGGGGCUAGCGUUGCUCGGAAUCACUGGGCGUAAAGAGCUCGUAGGCGGUCUGUUGCGUCGGCUGUGAAAACCCGGGGCUCAACUCCGGGCCUGCAGCCGAUACGGGCAGACUAGAGUUCGGCAGGGGAGACUGGAAUUCCUGGUGUAGCGGUGAAAUGCGCAGAUAUCAGGAGGAACACCGGUGGCGAAGGCGGGUCUCUGGGCCGAUACUGACGCUGAGGAGCGAAAGCGUGGGGAGCGAACAGG